rnacentral:rRNA from 1 species
AGUGAACGCUGGCGGUAGGCCUAACACAUGCAAGUCGAACGGCAGCACAGUAAGAGCUUGCUCUUACGGGUGGCGAGUGGCGGACGGGUGAGGAAUACAUCGGAAUCUACUUUUUCGUGGGGGAUAACGUAGGGAAACUUACGCUAAUACCGCAUACGACCUACGGGUGAAAGCAGGGGAUCUUCGGACCUUGCGCGAUUGAAUGAGCCGAUGUCGGAUUAGCUAGUUGGCGGGGUAAAUGCCCACCAAGGCGACGAUCCGUAGCUGGUCUGAGAGGAUGAUCAGCCACACUGGAACUGAGACACGGUCCAGACUCCUACGGGGGGCAGCAGUGGGGAAUAUUGGACAAUGGGCGCAAGCCUGAUCCAGCCAUACCGCGUGGGUGAAGAAGGCCUUCGGGUUGUAAAGCCCUUUUGUUGGGAAAGAAAAGCAGCAGGUUAAUACCCCGCUGUUCUGACGGUACCCAAAGAAUAAGCACCGGCUAACUUCGUG